rnacentral:rRNA from 1 species
AUUGAACGCUGGCGGCAGGCCUAACACAUGCAAGUCGAGCGGAUGAAGGGAGCUUGCUCCUGGAUUCAGCGGCGGACGGGUGAGUAAUGCCUAGGAAUCUGCCUGGUAGUGGGGGAUAACGUCCGGAAACGGGCGCUAAUACCGCAUACGUCCUGAGGGAGAAAGUGGGGGAUCUUCGGACCUCACGCUAUCUGAUGAGCCUAGGUCGGAUUAGAUAGUUGGUGGGGUAAAGGCCUACCAAGGCGACGAUCCGUAACUGGUCUGAGAGGAUGAUCAGUCACACUGGAACUGAGACACGGUCCAGACUCCUACGGGAGGCAGCAGUGGGGAAUAUUGGACAAUGGGCGAAAGCCUGAUCCAGCCAUGCCGCGUGUGUGAAGAAGGUCUUCGGAUUGUAAAGCACUUUAAGUUGGGAGGAAGGGCAGUAAGUUAAUACCUUGCUGUUUUGACGUUACCAACAGAAUAAGCACCGGCUAACUUCGUG